CAUACUCCAUGCAUCAUAUAACCAGGCUUUGGAAAGGCUCUGAAGAAUGCACAUGGCAAUUGGAUCUAUUUUGUCCCAUCGUGGGAGUGAUAAAAGCAGAUAGUGAUCAUUCUAAGAUGCAAAACAAUGAACACACUCAAGCUGAUUUUGGAUUUGACCAUACACAUUUCUCAGAAGAGGGAGCUUUCCUGGAGAAGGUGAAGAAAGAGAAGGAUAUUUGGCAGUGCUGAUUGCAGCUCGCUCUAUGAGGACAUAUUCUCCUCAUCCACAGAAGCCCUUUUCAAACAUUACUAAGAAGUCUGAUAAGAAGAAAAAACAUCCACUGAUGGGUUCUCAGAAAGAAAGCAUUAGAUUUAACUACAGGGCAAUACUGCCCUGAUUACCACAGGCCCAGCUGACGGCAAGGUUGCCAGGCAGCUCUCGUCCUGCCAAGAAUGGUGGUGGAAUGAAGCAAGCAUGUGGUUUGUAUUACCAUUUUUCAGCUUUUUAAGGUUUAGAAAAGAGAACGUCACCAACAAUG
ensembl:lincRNA